rnacentral:ribozyme from 1 species
GAUGGGAGAUAGUAAUCAGGAUAUAGGUAAUGAAAGCAUAGUAAAAGAGAAGAUAUUUGUAGAGCUAUUCCUCGCUCGUUAACUUCGCUAUCCAGAUGCUUUCAUUUGUUGGUUAUUUGUCUCUUUCUUUCACUAGCUAUUAAUCCAUGCAUUUCUAAUCCCAACAAAUGAACAAGAAUGAAUGAUGAUAAGGGAUCCAGAUAGGAGGUUAAACCUAAGGAAAGAA